GUUUGAUCCUGGCUCAGGACGAACGCUGGCGGCGUGCUUAACACAUGCAAAUCGAACGGAAAGGCCCUGCUUGCAGGGUACUCGAGUGGCGAACGGGUGAGUAACACGUGGGUGAUCUGCCCUGCACUUCGGGAUAAGCCUGGGAAACUGGGUCUAAUACCGGAUAGGAGCCAUUUUUAGUGUGAUGGUUGGAAAGUUUUUUCGGUGUAGGAUGAGCUCGCGGCCUAUCAGCUUGUUGGUGGGGUAAUGGCCUACCAAGGCGGCGACGGGUAGCCGGCCUGAGAGGGUGGACGGCCACAUUGGGACUGAGAUACGGCCCAGACUCCUACGGGAGGCAGCAGUGGGGAAUAUUGCACAAUGGGCGCAAGCCUGAUGCAGCGACGCCGUGUGGGGGAUGACGGCCUUCGGGUUGUAAACUCCUUUCGCUAGGGACGAAGCUUUUUGUGACGGUACCUAGAUAAGAAGCACCGGCUAACUACGUGCCAGCAGCCGCGGUAAUACGUAGGGUGCGAGCGUUGUCCGGAAUUACUGGGCGUAAAGGGCUCGUAGGUGGUUUGUCGCGUCGUCUGUGAAAUUCCGGGGCUUAACUCCGGGCGUGCAGGCGAUACGGGCAUAACUUGAGUACUGUAGGGGUAACUGGAAUUCCUGGUGUAGCGGUGAAAUGCGCAGAUAUCAGGAGGAACACCGAUGGCGAAGGCAGGUUACUGGGCAGUUACUGACGCUGAGGAGCGAAAGCAUGGGUAGCGAACAGGAUUAGAUACCCUGGUAGUCCAUGCCGUAAACGGUGGG
rnacentral:rRNA from 1 species